AUUGAACGCUGGCGGCAUGCAUUACACAUGCAAGUCGAACGGCAGCAUAGGAGCUUGCUCCUGAUGGCGAGUGGCGAACGGGUGAGUAAUAUAUCGGAACGUGCCCUAGAGUGGGGGAUAACUAGUCGAAAGACUAGCUAAUACCGCAUACGAUCUUCGGAUGAAAGUGGGGGAUCGCAAGACCUCAUGCUCCUGGAGUGGCCGAUAUCUUAUUAGCUAGUUGGUGGGGUAAAAGCUCACCAAGGCGACGAGCAGUAGCUGGUCUGAGAGGACGACCAGGCACACUGGGACUGAGACACGGCACAGACUCCUACGGGAGGCAGCAGUGGGGAAUUUUGGACAAUAGAGGCAACCCUGAUCCAGCAAUGCCGCGUGAGUGAAGAAGGCCUUCGGGUUGUAAAGCUCUUUUGUCAGGGAAGAAACGGUUCUGGAUAAUACCUGGGACUAAUGACGGUACCUGAAGAAUAAGCACCGGCUAACUACGUGCCAGCCGCCGCUGUAA
rnacentral:rRNA from 1 species